rnacentral:rRNA from 1 species
GACGAACGCUGGCGGCGUGCUUAACACAUGCAAGUCGAACGGAAAGGCCCUGCGUUUGUGGCGUGCUCGAGUGGCGAACGGGUGAGUAACACGCGAGUAACCUGCCCUUGACUUUGGGAUAACUUCAGGAAACUGGGGCUCAUACCGGAUAGGAGCUACUGAUGCGUGGUGGGGGUUGGAAAGUUUCGGCGGUGGGGGAUGGACUGGCGGCUUAUCAGCUUGUUGGGGGGGUAGUGGCUUACCAAGGCUUUGACGGGUAGCCGGCCUGAGAGGGUGACCGGGCACAUUGCGCCUGAGAGACGGCCCAGACGCCUACGGGAGGCAGCAGUGGGGAAUAUUGCACAAUGGGCGGAAGCCUGAUGUAGCAAUGCCGCGUGCGGGAUGACGUGCUUCGAGUGGUAAACCGAUUUCUCCGUUGACGAGGCGUGAUUGACGGUAAUGGGUCAAGAAGCACCGGCUAACUACGUG